rnacentral:rRNA from 1 species
GACGAACGCUGGCGGCGUGCUUAACACAUGCAAGUCGAACGGAAAGGCCCUGCUUUUGUGGGGUGCUCGAGUGGCGAACGGGUGAGUAACACGUGAGUAACCUGCCCUUGACUUUGGGAUAACUUCAGGAAACUGGGGCUAAUACCGGAUAGGAGCUCCUGCUGCACGGUGGGGGUUGGAAAGUUUCGGCGGUUGGGGCUGGACUCGCGGCUUAUCAGCUUGUUGGUGGGGUAGUGGCUUACCAAGGCUUUGACGGGUAGCCGGCCUGAGAGGGUGGCCGGCCACAUUGGGACUGAGAGACGGACCAGAAUCCUACGGGAGGCAGCGGUGGGGAAUAUUGCAGAGUGGGCGGAAGCCUGAUGCAGCAGCGCCGCGUGCGGGAUGACGGCCUUCGGGUUGUAAACCGCUUUCGCCUGUGACGAAGCGUGAGUGACGGUAAUGGGUAAAGAAGCACCGGCUAACUACGUG